ACCUUUCCAGCCAGGUGAGCCAGAGGAUGGAACUGACCCAGAAGGUCCUUGCUGAGUCCUUCCUCAAACCCUUCUAUGCUCUCACUUCCCUCACAGAACGGGAGGAUGGAGCGCUGUUGGCACCACCACCGCCUCCUCCUCCUCCUCCACCGCCACCUCCCCCAGCUCCCACAGCGCUGGUCAGUACCCCCCAACCACCGAUGUCCCCUGACAGCCUCUGUUCAGGGAGCCCCUAAGGAGGUGGUUGACCCCUCCAGCGGCCGGGCCACUCUGCUUGAGUCCAUCCGCCAAGCCGGGGGCAUUGGCAAGGCCAAGCUGCGCAGUGUCAAGGAACGCAAGCUUGAGAAGAAGAAACAGAAGGAGCAGGAG
rnacentral:lncRNA from 1 species